rnacentral:rRNA from 1 species
GUGCUUAACACAUGCAAGUCGAACGGAAAGGCCCUUCGGGGUACUCGAGUGGCGAACGGGUGAGUAACACGUGGGUGAUCUGCCCUGCACUUUGGGAUAAGCCUGGGAAACUGGGUCUAAUACCGAAUAGGACUACGCGAUGCAUGUCGUGUGGUGGAAAGCUUUUGCGGUGUGGGAUGGGCCCGCGGCCUAUCAGCUUGUUGGUGAGGUUACGGCUCACCAAGGCGACGACGGGUAGCCGGCCUGAGAGGGUGACCGGCCACACUGGGACUGAGAUACGGCCCAGACUCCUACGGGAGGCAGCAGUGGGGAAUAUUGCACAAUGGGCGCAAGCCUGAUGCAGCGACGCCGCGUGAGGGAUGACGGCCUUCGGGUUGUAAACCUCUUUCGCCAGGGACGAAGCGCAAGUGACGGUACCUGGAGAAGAAGGACCGGCCAACUACGUGCCAGCAGCCGCGGUAAUACGUAGGGUCCGAGCGUUGUCCGGAAUUACUGGGCGUAAAGAGCUCGUAGGUGGUUUGUCGCGUUGUUCGUGAAAUC